GAACGCUGGCGGCAGGCCUAACACAUGCAAGUCGAACGGUAACAGGAAGCAGCUUGCUGCUUGCUGACGAGUGGCGGACGGGUGAGUAAUGUCUGGGAAACUGCCUGAUGGAGGGGGGUAACGUACUGGAAACGGUAGCUAAUACCGCAUAACGUCGCAAGACCAAAGAGGGGGACCUUCGGGCCUCUUGCCAUCAGAUGUGCCCAGAUGGGAUUAGCUUGUUGGUGGGGUAACGGCUCACCAAGGCGACGAUCCCUAGCUGGUCUGAGAGGAUGACCAGCCACACUGGAACUGAGACACGGUCCAGACUCCUACGGGAGGCAGCAGUGGGGAAUAUUGCACGAUGGGCGCAAGCCUGAUGCAGCCAUGCCGCGUGUAUGAAGAAGGCCUUCGGGUUGUAAAGUACUUUCAGCGGGGAGGAAGGUGUUGUGGUUAAUAACCACAGCAAUUGACGUUACCCGCAGAAGAAGCACCGGCUAACUCCGUGCCAGCAGCCGC
rnacentral:rRNA from 1 species